GACGAACGCUGGCGGCGUGCUUAACACAUGCAAGUCGAACGGAAAGGCCCUGCUUUUGUGGGGUGCUCGAGUGGCGAACGGGUGAGUAACACGGGAGUAACCUGCCCUUGACUUUGGGAUAACUUCAGGAAACUGGGGCUAAUACCGGAUAGGAGCUCCUGCUGCAUGGUGGGGGUUGGAAAGUUUCGGCGGUUGGGGAUGGACUCGCGGCUUAUCAGCUUGUUGGUGGGGUAGUGGCUUACCAAGGCUUUGACGGGUAGCCGGCCUGAGAGGGUGACCGGCCACAUUGGGACUGAGAUACGGCCCAGACUCCUACGGGAGGCAGCAGUGGGGAAUAUUGCAGAAUGGGCGGAAGCCUGAUGCAGCAACGCCGCGUGCGGGAUGACGGCCUUCGGGUUGUAAACCGCUUUCGCCUGUGACGAAGCGUGAGUGACGGUAAUGGGUAAAGAAGCACCGGCUAACUACGUG
rnacentral:rRNA from 1 species